GCCCGGUGACCGUGCCCGUGUCAGGACAGGACAUCGCAGUCGUACCGGUUCGGGAGCGAAAUAUGGAAUGUGUUUCACUGCUGACCGACGGCAGCCAAAUGAACAGUAUUUCUAGUAGUUUGAAAAUCAGCAGUUAGCAGUUUCUUCACAUUCUGACAGGACCCAGCACUUUCCAGAGAGAACUCAUUGUUUACAAGAAAUCUGCUUUCCAAAUCCGCUACGGUGCCCUCCAGCCCCCGCUGGUAACUGUUCGCAAAGGGGACGCUCGCUCCGCGGUUCGGGGAAAGAUGGCAAUGGAUGAGUACCUGUGGAUGCUCGUCGUGGGCUUCAUCAUAGCCUUCAUUUUAGCCUUUUCGGUGGGGGCCAACGACGUCGCCAACUCGUUCGGCACGGCCGUGGGCUCCGGCGUGGUCACCCUGCGCCAGGCGUGCAUCCUGGCCUCGGUGUUCGAAACCACCGGCUCGGUCUUGCUGGGGGCGAAAGUGGGAGAAACGAUUCGGAAAGGGAUCAUCGACGUGAACCUGUACAACAACACGGUCCCGCUGCUCAUGGCCGGGGAAGUCAGCGCCAUGGUCGGUUCUGCUGUUUGGCAGCUGAUUGCGUCGUUCUUGAAGCUCCCGAUAUCGGGAACCCAUUGCAUUGUCGGUGCUACGAUUGGAUUCUCCCUGGUCGCCAUCGGCACGCAGGGGGUCCAGUGGAUGCAGCUGGUCAAGAUUGUUGCCUCUUGGUUUAUUUCACCCCUGUUAUCCGGCUUGAUGUCUGGGAUCCUCUUUGUGCUGAUUAGGUUCUUCAUUUUAAACAAGGAAGAUCCUGUGCCCAACGGUCUCCGCGCCCUUCCAGUGUUCUAUGCUGCUACCAUAGCGAUCAACGUGUUCUCCAUCAUGUACACAGGUGCACCGGUACUGGGACUGGUACUGCCCAUGUGGGCCAUUGCUCUGAUAUCAAUCGGCGUGUCCUUAGUCUUUGCCGUCUUAGUCUGGAUUUUCGUGUGUCCCUGGAUGAAGAGGAAAAUAGAAAGCCGGUUAAAGAAAGAUGCCGCGCUGUCGAGGAUAUCAGAUGAAAGCCUCGAUAAAAUUCAAGGCGAAGAAACGCCCGUCUUUAAAGAGCUUCCCGGUGCCAAAACAUCUGACGAGAGCACCAUUCCCCUCACCGGCUCCGCAACAGAAGCUGCGGGGGCAUCAGAUACCAUCGCAAAUGGAAACCAUCCCCGUGUGCCCUACGGAAGGGCGUUCUCCAUGACGCACACCUCGGUCAAGUCGCCCGUCUCCAACGGCACCUUCAGCUUCGACGGGCAGGUGAGGAGCGACGGCCACGUGUACCACACCGUGCACAAGGACUCGGGUUUGUACAAAGACUUGCUCCACAAAAUACACCUGGACAGGGCCGCCGACGAGAGGCCCGCUCCAGAAAACAACUACAAACUCUUGCGGCGCAACAACAGCUACACGUGCUACACGGCGGCCAUCUGCGGCAUGCCCGUGCACUCCUCCUUCAAGGCGGCCGACACGUCGGCCCCCGAGGACAGCGAGAAGUUGGUCGGGGACACCGUGUCCUACUCCAAGAAGCGGGUUCGCUACGACAGCUACUCCAGCUACUGCAACGCGGUGGCCGAGGCGGAGAUCGAGGCGGAGGAAGGCGGCGUGGAGAUGAAGUUGGGCUCCGAGCUGGCGGAUCCCAACCGGCCGCCCGUGGAUCCCGUGGAGGAGGACAAGGAGGAGAAAGACACGUCUCAGGUCCACCUGCUUUUCCACUUCCUCCAGAUCUUAACGGCCUGUUUCGGAUCCUUCGCCCACGGAGGUAACGACGUCAGCAAUGCCAUCGGACCCCUCGUGGCGCUCUGGCUUAUCUACGAGCAAGGUGGGGUCAUGCAAGAAGCGUCGACCCCCGUCUGGCUGCUGUUCUACGGGGGCGUUGGGAUCUGCGUGGGUCUCUGGGUCUGGGGCAGAAGAGUUAUCCAGACCAUGGGUAAAGACCUCACUCCCAUCACGCCGUCCAGAGUCAAAUAUCCGUGUAGAUGUUGCUCUCUCCUGGCAAUGAGCUGGAUUAUGGAAAAUCCCAAGAGAAAAGUCACCUCGUAGAUGGGCACGAAGAAAGUGGCCUAAAUGGUUUUGCACAGAAGUUUCUUUAGUACAGAAACUUUCGCUCUGUCUCUGGGACGCGUCCCCUGCCCGUGGCCCGGUGACCGUCAGCAGGAGCCCUCCGACGCACCGACGCGGAGGAGCCUUCCCUCUCCAAGAGGAUUAUGAGGGCUCAGAGGUGUAAGUUAUUAUCUCAGGGACGACCUAGGGGGAAAUUCACUGUAUCUGCAAGGGCUGGGUUUGCCACAGACGAGGAGGAGAGGAGGAACCGGAGGUAAUUCAAAGCUCAUCGCUCCAUUUUAUUCAUGGCGACUUCAGCCCCUCUGUUCAUAUACUGUGGUGGCAUUUGGUCAGUGGUUUUUUCUCCUUUUAAAUGACAACUUUGGCCACUUUAUUUAAGACAUAUUUUAGAGUGCUUGGGGGGUUUGUCCUGUACUUUACAGAGAAAUCGUCCAAGUGUCUGAAAAAGAGUCAGGGACACACGGGGGGGCUGAGUGACCACAGAAACUCCUUUUUUGAGGAAACAGCAAUAAAGCAGCGGAGCCCCGGGUGUCCCGGGUGUCCCGGGGGAACCUAAGGGCCGGGAGCGGACGGCGGGACCCGGGGAGAUGCUGCGGUUCGGGGCCGAGGGUCCCCUGGGCGCUGCCGCCCCCGGCCCCACCGUGCGGGGUCCGGGCCCAGAGCCGGGACCGGCAGCGCCCGGUUCCUCCGCGGCAACGCGCUGCUGCGGGACGGGCGGGGGGACCGGCCCGGCCCCGGUGUCCCGGGAAUGAGGGGGACGGGUGGGGGGACCCGGGCUGCGGCAGAGCCGGGAGCUGACGGACCCUCGGCUGGGUGGGGAAUGUGAGGAGGGACAACGGGCUCGGGGCUGGGAGGUUCGUUUUGGGGCGGGGGCGGCAGCGCCAGUGGUUGUCCCAGGAGGGGGAGAGUGAAGCGGGAGCACGAACCGGGGCUGCCCGGGGGUCGCUCCCGUGUGAGUCCCCCGUGUGACAGUCCCGGCCCCGCUGUCCCUGCCCCGGCUGCGGUGCCGCCGAACGGACACGAGAUGGCGCUGCGCUCUGCAGGGCCGCGCGGUGUCCGCCAGGCGGCGCCAUCCCGGGCUGCGGCGGGGGCGGGACCGAGUGAGAGGGGCGGAACCGAGAUCGGAGGGGGCGUGGCCAACCCGCUCGGCCGCGCCCCGAGCGCAGCUGAGCCCGCCGCGGGGACGCGGUGGCCGGUUCUCAUUGGGUCGGUGCCGGUGCCGCGUUUGUUCGGUGCGUUCCCCUGUGUGUCUGGUUGGUGUUGGUGCCUCGGUUGUUUCACGGCAGCGCAGCCGAGCCCGCAGCGAGGACGUGCUGGACACGGACGGGGCGUGAAGGAGCUGCAGGUGCCUGCGGGCAGGUCCCGGACAGAGGCAGCGGCGGGCAAGGGUUAAAACCUACAAUGGCCUCAAUAAAGGGGUGGUGGAAAGUGGCCGCAUGUCGCCGUGGUCCUUACGGGUCCCUCUCGUGCCCAGCCCGGGGCGGGGGGGUCAGGCCGAGCCGUGCCCUGAGGUCACCCGGCCCAUCCCACACCAGCGACUGUUCCCAGACACCUUCCCCCCCCCUCCCCGAUGCGGGGACCCGGGUUCUCGCCGCCAGCUCCAGCUCCAGCCUGUGCAGCUUCAAGCCUGUUUGCGGUUCCAGCUCCUCUGCAGCUGCUUCUGGUUCCAGUUGUUCUGCAGCUCCAGCUCGUUGUGCUUGUUCCACUGAGCUUGGCCUUGGGCCAGAUCGUAAAUCAAUCACUGUCACAAGCUGCCUAGGAAUAUGACACAUGAAUAAAUAUGAACCAAUUAUCUAAUAA